UUACGGCCAUAUCACGUUGAAACAUCGUUUCCCGAACGAUCACCGUUGUUAAACAACAUCGAGACUGAUCAGUACCUAGAUGGGGGAUCACUUGGGAAUACCAGGUGCUGUAAG